GACAGAGGGUGCAAACGUUGUUCGGAAUUACUGGGCGUAAAGCGCGCGUAGGCAGCAGCGUGUGUCGGGCGUGAAAUCCCACGGCUCAACCGUGGAAGUGCACUCGAAACUGCGCAGCUAGAGUCUCGGAGAGGAAGGCGGAAUGCUUGGUGUAGAGGUGAAAUUCGUAGAUAUCAAGCGGAACACCGGUGGCGAAGGCGACGUCCUGGACCGGUAUUGACGCUGAGGCGCGAAAGCCAGGGGAGCAAACGGG
rnacentral:rRNA from 1 species